AGCAGCCGCGGUAAUUCCAGCUCCAAUAGCGUAUAUUAAAGUUGUUGCAGUUAAAAAGCUCGUAGUUGAAUUUUGGAUUCUGCCAAUCGGUCCAUCUUUUAGAUGAGUACUGGUUGUGUGGGGUCUAUCCGCCUGGUGAUACGUAAUGUCCUUUAUUGGAUGUUGCGGGUAGUCAGGACCUUUACCUUGAAAAAAUUAGAGUGUUUAAAGCAGGCUUAUGCCGGAAUACAUUAGCAUGGAAUAAUAGAAUAGGACGAAGUUGUUUUAUUUUGUUGGUUUCUAGGACAACCGUAAUGAUUAAUAGGGAUAGUUGGGGGCAUUAGUAUUCAAUUGUCAGAGGUGAAAUUCUUGGAUUUAUUGAAGACUAACUACUGCGAAAGCAUUUGCCAAGGAUGUUUUCAUUAAUCAAGAACGAAAGUUAGGGGAUCGAAGACGAUCAGAUACCGUCGUAGUCUUAACCAUAAACUAUGCCGACUAGGGAUCGGGCGAUGUUGUUUCCAUGACUCGCUCGGCACCUUAUG
rnacentral:rRNA from 1 species